rnacentral:rRNA from 1 species
AGUGAGCGCUGGCGGUAGGCCUAACACAUGCCAGUCGAACGGCAGCACAGUAAGAGCUUGCUCUUACGGGUGGCGAGUGGCGGACGGGUGAGGAAUACAUCGGAAUCUACUUUUUCGUGGGGGAUAACGUAGGGAAACUUACGCUAAUACCGCAUACGACCUACGGGUGAAAGCAGGGGAUCUUCGGACCUUGCGCGAUUGAAUGAGCCGAUGUCGAAUUAGCUAGUUGGCGGGGUAAAGGCCCACCAAGGCGACGAUCCGUAGCUGAUCUGAGAGGAUGAUCAGCCACACUAGAACUGAGACACGGUCCAGACUCCUACGGGAGGCAGCAGUGGGGAAUAUUGGACAAUGGGCGCAAGCCUGAUCCAGCCAUACCGCGUGGGUGAAGAAGGCCUUCGGGUUGUAAAGCCCUUUUGUUGGGAAAGAAAAGCAGCAGGUUAAUACCCCGCUGUUCUGACGGUACCCAAAGAAUAAGCACCGGCUAACUUCGUG